UUGAUGGAGAGUUUGAUCCUGGCUCAGGACGAACGCUGGCGGCGUGCCUAAUACAUGCAAGUCGAGC
rnacentral:rRNA from 1 species